UACGAAGGGGGCUAGCGUUGUUCGGAAUCACUGGGCGUAAAGCGCACGUAGGCGGAUGUGCCAGUCAGGGGUGAAAUCCUGGAGCUCAACUCCAGAACUGCCUUCGAUACUGCCGGGCUUGAGUCCGGGAGGGGAGAGUGGAAUUCCCAGUGUAGCGGUGAAAUGCGUAGAUAUUGGGAGGAACACCGGUGGCGAAGGCGGCUCUCUGGAC
rnacentral:rRNA from 1 species